rnacentral:rRNA from 1 species
CGCGUAGGCGGGUCAUCAAGUCCGGGGUGAAAUCCUCCAGCUUAACUGGAGAAUAGCCUUGGAUACUGGUGGUCUCGAGGGAGGUAGGGGCGGGUGGAACUUCCGGUGGAGCGGUGAAAUGCGUAGAUAUCGGAAGGAACGCCGGUGGCGAAAGCGACCCGCUGGACCUCUUCUGACGCUGAGGCGCGAAAGCCAGGGGAGCAAACGGGAUUAGAUACCCCGGUAGUCCUGGCCCUAAACGAUGGGUACUAGAUUGUAGACUAAACAUGGGUUUACAGUCGAAGCAAAAGUGUUAAGUACCCCGCCUGGGGAGUAUGGUCGCAAGGCUGAA